rnacentral:tRNA from 1 species
GGGCCCGUGGUAUAUCGGUAGAACGCCAGUAUGGCAUACUGGAAAGGGGGGUUCGACUCCCCCCGGGUCCACCA